GCCACGCCUAGACCGGCCAGUCGAACGCGGGAACACCCUGAACCGCUGGCGUGGCGCACCUCAUCGGGG
rnacentral:ncRNA from 1 species